rnacentral:rRNA from 1 species
AUUGAACGCUGGCGGCAGGCUUAACACAUGCAAGUCGAGCGGAGAUGAGGUGCUUGCACCUUAUCUUAGCGGCGGACGGGUGAGUAAUGCUUAGGAAUCUGCCAUUUAGUGGGGGACAACAUUCCGAAAGGAAUGCUAAUACCGCAUACGUCCUACGGGAGAAAGCAGGGGAUCUUCGGACCUUGCGCUAAAUGAUGAGCCUAAGUCGGAUUAGCUAGUUGGUGGGGUAAAGGCCUACCAAGGCGACGAUCUGUAGCGGGUCUGGGAGGAUGAUCCGCCACACUGGGACUGAGACACGGCCCAGACUCCUACGGGAGGCAGCAGUGGGGAAUAUUGGACAAUGGGCGGAAGCCUGAUCCAGCCAUGCCGCGUGUGUGAAGAAGGCCUUUUGGUUGUAAAGCACUUUAAGCGAGGAGGAGGCCACUAGUACUAAUACUACUGGAUAGUGGACGUUACUCGCAGAAUAAGUACCGGCUAACUCUGUGCCAGCCGCCGCAGUAAGAC